GACGAACGCUGGCGGCGUGCUUAACACAUGCAAGUGGAGCGACGAACCAGGGCUUGCCCUGGGGCAGGGCCGCGAACGGGUGAGUAACACGUGGGUUACCUACCCCGAUGACCGGGACAACCCGAGGAAACUCGGGCUAAUACCGGAUGUGGUCUUCGGACGAAAGGAAGCUUCGGCCUCCGCAUCGGGAUGGGCCCGCGGCGCAUUAGCUUGUUGGUGGGGUAACGGCCUACCAAGGCGACGAUGCGUAGCNGGUCUGAGAGGACGAUCAGCCACACUGGGACUGAGACACGGCCCAGACUCCUACGGGAGGCAGCAGUGGGGAAUCUUGCACAAUGCGCGAAAGCGUGAUGCAGCAACGCCGCGUGAGGGAAGACGGCCU
rnacentral:rRNA from 1 species